CACCAUGCCCGGCUUCUUCUGACUGUGUUAAAGCAGCAGGAGCAACCUCUGAAGCUUUGCACUGUGCUCCUGGUGGCUCCGAACCUUGAGAGGCGCUCCUGCCUGGUGGGAUUCAAAGUCAGGCUUGGAGCUUCGUGAUGCCACUCUAGCAUGAUUCUGCAUCUCUGAGUAUUUUCUAUUCUCUAAGCUGCCCGGAUUGGCUUCCUGACAUCACAGGAUGAAGGAAAACUAGGAGAUCGCAGGAAGGAAGUACUUGUGUCCAGUGCUGCAUCCCAGGCUGCGUGGGACCCGUUCUCAGUGAGCUGGGCUGGGCGUGAUGGGCGUUGCGAGGGUUUCAAAUCAGCUCCCCCGCAAUCACAUCCAUAACUGCGUUCGUCCUGCAGGGUGGACGGCUCCCUAGGAAGACCCUGAGUCCCUCCUAGAAAGGGAACGCUGUGGCCAUCACACAAGCAGCAUCCUCCCCCUCCACCACAUGUGCCCACGGCCCUGGCCUGACCAGACCAGGACAAAUGAUCAUAAGCAGCCCUUCUUGGGUCUGCUGUAGUCUUGGGUCACCUGUGGCCUCCAUCUGGCCUGACCUCUCCUUGGACCUCUCACUGUAAUCUCACCGUUCGUCAGUCACUCCGCUCUUUUGGAGGCUCCCUGCGUUGUCUGUUAUCAACACAGGACUACACACCCCACCACAGCAUCGAUGGUGGGCAGAUAGGUGAGGAGCAAACAGAAAAAAUGGCAGCGCAAACCCAGAGAACUUGGCCUCAGGAAUGAAGGAAGCGAGCGAGGUGCCUGGGGUUCAAACUUGGAGGCUCGUGCACAGGGCCACGAGGGCGCGGGGCCAGUGCCUCCUUAAAUUUUCCACAGUAAGCGCUGAGUUUGCCUGGUCCUGGUACUGGUUCUGCCCAGAGCGCAGGGUGCUUGUCAUGAGGCUUGCAUGGAAUGUUUGCUCAAGUUUAAGUUACUUAGACCCCGCUACCACCAGACAGUUUUUCUUCCUAGUAUAUGACACCAACGUGCAACAAGAAGCCCAGGGCAUGUGAGAGUUCUGCAGACUGCAAGGCCAAAAAUAAGCAGGAUAUUGGUUCCAGCGGUGCUCAGAGCACAAACCCUCCGCACGUAAUAUCAAGAAGACACUUUUCUGGAGGAGUAAAUUAGGACGCCAUUACCAUUACUUAGAUAGCAUGCCCUGCGGAGUUUCCCACCCAAAGGUUUGGGAGAGGCCAGCUGUUCAAACAGACCUGUGGAGACCAGUGGAAGAGAAUAAAAGGCAGGAUUUUCCUCCCCUGAUGUGGUCAUUAUUCCGUUUGUCUUGAGGCCGUGGAGCAUCGGGAUAGUCUGCAGAAUUUGGUGGAAGCCACACCGUAGAAGGUGGAGGCCACACCGUAAUCACUGUCUUGUACAACACUCUGCUGUUUUCAAAACUUCUGCUAACAUUUUCCAUGCGCCGUGGAUAUUGCCUAUCAGGGGAUGCAACUGAAAAGAUGUCACAUUCGCCCAGGCCUGCCCUGAGCAGGACUGAAUAAGGACUUCCGCCGCCCUUCCUAGGAGGCCCAGUGCAGUCUGGAAGGAAAGAAUAGCUCACCAUCGGUGUCCUCCGCUGCUGAGACCUGACAGGCCCGUGGUGGCGUGGCAAAGACGGCUGCAGAUGCUCUCACUGCUCCUG